UGAAGGGGUAGGUCCAAAUCAAUCUGGUAAAGGCCAAGCAUAGUUUUUUGAGGAGUGAAACUUCCAGCAGCAAACCGCUUGGAUAAUUACUCAAGGUUUUCCCUACAGUAUUUUCUAAGGCAAUGUGUAAGUAUAAUUAAGGCUGUUUGAACAUGUAUUCUCUCCGCAGGAUAAUAAGGAUAAUAUGUAAGAAUCUGUUGCUGAUUUAUGUGUUUGCUGUCUUCAAGAAAGACUGUGACAAGGCUUUUCAAAUGGAGGAUCUGAUUUUUGCUCAAGACGGUGCCUGUUUUAAAAGUAGUUGUUUUACCACUAUUAGAAUAUUAUUUAAG
rnacentral:lncRNA from 10 species